GCUGGGAUAGCUAAAGUUGGUAGAGUAUGCGACUCUUAAUCUCAAGGUUGUGGGUUCGAGGCCCACGCAGGGCA